GAGUUCACAAUGAAUUUUUAUGCCUGGGUUUCUGUGACCCAAGUUAUGCUGAAGAAUAUGAGAGACACCACCUUUUAAAAAUUUUUACAUAGCCUGCGGCCACUGCAAUUCGUUAAUCCCUUUGGAAAAUUGCUUAAGCCUGGCAUGUUUUGUAAUGAACUUUAUCUCUUCACUACCAAAAGUCGUAAAAAGGAACUUCAGUGAGGAAAGAAACACAAUUGAUAAUUGAAUAUUUCAAAGAGAUCAGCAUUUUAGAAAACUGGCUUUUUGGAUUGGCUCACAGUUUUCCUACUUUUCUGUCCUGUCAGUUGAGAAGAAUACAUUUCAAGAGAUGCUCUUGGAAAACACGUUUGAUGGAGAGGUUGAUUUUUGUAACCUGUAUGCCGUAGUCAGCUUUGUGGUCACCUAAUGAUUCAAAAGACAUUUCCGUAAAUGCCUGGAAGCAAUCAGUCUUCUAGCCUUCGCUGAUGGGUUCUGCAUAUGAGUUCAGGCAUGCCUUCAGGACUCCACCAGGCACUUGGUAAUUCUGCCUUAUCCUUCACUUUUUGCUUGAGCAGCGCCGAAAGGUGAGCCAGAGGAGGGAAAUUUGGACAUGGACACAUAGGGAAGACAGCCAUGUGGAGACAGAGGCAGAGGUGGACCUGCUGCCGCAAAACCACAGGGCGCCAAGUACUGUGGGCCACUGAGAAAACUAAAGGAGAGGAAGGAUUCUUCCCUGGAGCUUUGGAGAGGGUAAUGAACUGUAACCUCACUGGACGUGUAAACAGACUGUGACCUACCUACUCUUGUGCCAAUCAUGGAGUUUCAGCCAAUCACAGGCGGCCGGCUGUUCAAACCAUGUUUAAAUAAGGCAAACGCAGAGCUGUAAGCAAUCUAGGUGUUUCUGCACCUCUCGUCCAUUUUCUGUUAAUUUCAGGUUUAUACAUAAGAUGAGCAACUUACCAAGUGCUUCUAAUUCUACUUGAUAAAAUGAUACUCCCUAAGCCACCUUGACUGGGUGUGAAAGAGGGCAAAUAAAGGCUUAAAUACAAUAUAUCUUCCUGAUGAGAUAACUGCAGACCUAUUUGUGGGAGAAAAUUGCUGCACAUAAGCAUUUGUGUUUGUUUUAUAUUCACUUUAACUGUGAAGAGGGAAAUGAAGUUCGAGCGGAAGCCAUGAGACUCUAUUGUAACAGCUCAUGAAAAAUUACAGCUCAACAUCCAAA
ensembl:lncRNA LINC00705 long intergenic non-protein coding RNA 705